CGAUGCCACCAAUCCAGAAAAUUAAACACAAUUCCUGGGCCCCGCCCUCCGGGAGCCUGAUGCAGCUGGCCUGGGGUGAGAAGUCAGGGUCUGAGAGGCUCCUGGGCUGGCCACAGCUCAGCCAGGCUGGGGGACGUCAUUCUGGGUGGUUUCAUCAAGAGGUCUGAUGAAACCUAACAAGCAGCCGGCAGCUCCACACCCAGGUGGUGCUGCUUCUGAGACAUGAACCAGCCCCUAUGGGACGUGCGACGGAAAACCUCUCAUUCCCGGAUGACCCCUGAUGACACCUGUGAGCCGGGCUGCGGGAUAGACGUCAACCGCCUUCGCCUGGCGCCCGCCUCUCAUCCCGUUGCCACAGCAACAGCAGACACAAUGGUUUCCGUGGAGUUCGGGUCUAUAAAUAAUGUCUAGAUCAGUCGUUGGGGUGGGAACGGGUGGACUCUGCAGGGUGGUUCGUGGUGACCAGCAGGCCAGGCCACUGUCCACCGGAAGCGUGGCCCUCGGGGAAGGGAGGUCCGUCUUAAACCUGACUCCGUCCAGUGUGUUUCCAGGGAAGGCUCACAUUCCCAAUCCAAGGGUGAAGGAGGUGAUCUGUGGUGAAGUCAUUUGAAAAUCAAGCCGAUGGACGCUGUUGCUCUCUGAUGAGGUGCUGCCAAGGUCAGAGGACGCAGGGACUCGGCCAGAGGCAAUGGAAAUGCAAACCAGAUUCCAGAGUGUUUUGCUCCAACGCUGCACCAACUCCUGGGAAACCCGUGAAUUUGUUUUCCCCGACCCAAAGGGCGGCAGCGGUUUCAAAUUCUCCGAGAAGCAGCCCUCAGGGGGUAGCUUCACUGACCCUCAGCCCAGCUGCUGUCCACCUCGUGGGCAACUGAGAAAAGGGGGGGAAAUGCAUGAGAAGGAGCUGGGAAAUAAGUUUUUCACAUUUCCAAAUGAAUCCAGGUCUCAUGCAAUUGGGCCUCAAGACUCGUAUCUCCAGAGGGUCACUGUGCUAAUGGUGGGGGGAGGCUGGCACCGGUGGUGAAGGUCAAAGGGCGUCCCCCCUUAAACAGAGUGGUGGCCUGGGUGUGACAUAAGAGUCUCAAACAAAAAAAAAUGGUUUUUCAU